rnacentral:rRNA from 1 species
GUCGGACCUGCCCAGUGAAGUUUAAACGGCCGCGGUACUCUGACCGUGCAAAGGUAGCAUAAUCAUUUGCCUUAUAAUUGAAGGCUGGAAUGAAUGGUUUGACAAGAAUACACCUGUCUCUUUUAGAUUAUUUAGAAUUUUAUCUUUGGGUGAAAAAGCCCAGAUCUUAUUAAAAGACAAGAAGACCCUAUCGAGCUUCAGAAAAAUUAAUAGAGAUUAUAUUUAAUAUUAAUUAAAAGAAAAGCUAUUGAAUACUUUGGUUGGGGCAACCGAGGAGUAAAUAAAGCCUCCUUUAAAUAAGAAGUCUUACUUGUGAAGAUCCAAGAAUUUUGAUCAAAGAAAUUAGUUACCGUAGGGAUAACAGCAUUAUCUUUUUUGAGAGCCCAUAUCGAAAAAAAGGUUUGUGACCUCGAUGUUGGACCAGAAUAUCCUAAAGAUGCAGAAGUCUUUGAGGGUUGGUCUGUUCGACCAUUAAAAUUC